AAAUUUUUAUUAAAAAAAAAAAAAACAUUAAGAUGUAGUCAUCAAAAGAAGCAACUAUGAUCAUGUAGACAAAGAAGUCAAAGUACAUAGACAAGUACGGCCGGAUAAGACUAAAUAGAAAAGAACGGCUAAUACAGUGAUUAUAAGAGAUCAACAGCAAUUUCUCUAUGGUGGUAAGAUGUUUGUACCUGGGCAACUUUGAAGAGCUUAUCUAUACCUUUCAAAUUAAGAUGAGCAUUGUGCA